UACGUAGGGUGCGAGCGUUAAUCGGAAUUACUGGGCGUAAAGCGUGCGCAGGCGGCUUUGUAAGACAGAGGUGAAAUCCCCGGGCUCAACCUGGGAACUGCCUUUGUGACUGCAAGGCUUGAGUGCGGCAGAGGGGGAUGGAAUUCCGCGUGUAGCAGUGAAAUGCGUAGAUAUCGAGAGGAACACCUGCGGCGAAGGCGGGUUGCUGGGCUGACACUGACGCUGAUGCGCGAAAGCCAGGGGAGCGAACGGG
rnacentral:rRNA from 1 species